rnacentral:rRNA from 1 species
CGCGUGGGAACGUGCCCCCUUCUUCGGAAUAGCCUCGGGAAACUGGGAGUAAUACCGGAUACGCCCUUUGGGGGAAAGAUUUAUCGGAGGAGGAUCGGCCCGCGUUGGAUUAGGUAGUUGGUGGGGUAAUGGCCUACCAAGCCGACGAUCCAUAGCUGGUUUGAGAGGAUGAUCAGCCACACUGGGACUGAGACACGGCCCAGACUCCUACGGGAGGCAGCAGUGGGGAAUCUUAGACAAUGGGCGCAAGCCUGAUCUAGCCAUGCCGCGUGAGCGAUGAAGGCCUUAGGGUUGUAAAGCUCUUUCAGGGGGGAAGAUAAUGACUGUACCCCCAGAAGAAGCCCCGGCUAACUCCGUG